UCAGUUAUAUGAUUCUAGAUUCAUUAAUUGAUUUAAAGUUGUCUAGUGUUCCAGUGAUUACUAGGCAUGUCUUCUCAGUUUGUUCUGGUGAGUCUAGGGUUUCGUCAUGUUAUUGUAAGACUUUGUACUUUGACAGCUAAUCUAAUGUAGUAGGUGCUAGAAAUGCAUUUCUCGAAUGCCACCAGUGUCAAAAACAACUCUAUGUGUCGUCCAAAACAAUUUGAAAUGUGUCGCCCAAAACAAAUCUUCCAUUUUGCUAAUAGACCAGAGGUUCUCUUGUUUUGCAGUCUCAAUAACUCUAAUUUUCAAACUACUGAGUAUAUAAGGCUACUAAUUUCCAUUGCAACAGCAAUGCCCUCCCCGGAAAUGAUGAAAGCAGGCGCGAUAUCUGAUCACCUCCUCACGGUUAUAAACCCCUGAAAAUAUUUCUGCAAGCUAAUGGCAGUCUCUAUUAUAACUACUUAUUUUUGUUUUAUGGUUGUUUCAUUUGAAUCAGACUAUGUUUCAUGUAUCUCUUUCGUCGAUUGGUAUAUAAGUUUUGGUUGUCUAGGACUUUUAAUAGUGUAGUAAAAUAUUGUGUUGUAUUUAAACUUGAUUUGCAUCAUUUUCUUUUUAUACAAAUUGCUGGCAGUAUUUUACUAUUAUGCCAGCAGUGUUUUUUGUACAGAUUGUAUUCUGACAGGCUAGAGAUUGACAGUCUGCUUCCAUAAUGGAGAGCUAUUGGCACUUGGCACAGGAGCUUGGUAUUAAUUGAAUUGCAAGUCCCUGUAGUUCUCUUCUUUUCUGCCACUUAAAGGAUUGCAGAAGAUUGUUUUAAAGAACUACUAUCCGAGCAUUGAUCACUACUCACCAGGUCGACUACUAUCCACUCCCCGGUGCUCCAUAUAUCUCUGAAGGGUCAAAUUACGAUAGGAAUUUGGCCAAAAACAAUCUCACUGGACUGAUACAAUUCUGUAAUGGAUCAGAGGUUUCAGAUAUUUUUACUGCUGUUAUCCAUUCAAUUUUUUAGUAUAGCAUUGCAGGAUGGUGAGUUCACUUGAUCUUUAUGUUCUUCGUAGUUUUUAUGCCUUCUACUGUGGUUAUGCAUGUUUAAUUUGUGUCUUUAGAUUGCUAAGAAAGUUAAGCAAAAUUUUGAAUUGUAUAUACAGAAGGCUGACUAUGCUUCUUUUUAUGUGCUCCAGUUCCAAGCUUUACG